AGAGUUGAUUCUGGCUCAGGAUGAACGCUGGCGGCGUGCCUAACACAUGGCAAGUCGAACGAAGCACUGUAACAGAACCUUCGGGUGAAGAUAUUGUGACUGAGUGGCGGACGGGUGAGUAACGCGUGGGUAACCUGCCCUAGGUACAGGGGGAUAACAGUUAGAAAUGACUGCUAAUACCGCAUAAGCGCACGAUGGUAGCAUUACCAGGUGUGAAAAAACUCCGGUGGUACAGGAUGGGCCCGCGUCUGAUUAGCUUGUUGGCGGGGUAAGAGCCCACCAAGGCGACGAUCAGUAGCCGGUCUGAGAGGAUGAACGGCCACAUUGGAACUGAGACACGGUCCAAACUCCUACGGGAGGCAGCAGUGGGGAAUAUUGCACAAUGGGGGGAACCCUGAUGCAGCAACGCCGCGUGGGUGAAGAAGUAUUUCGGUAUGUAAAGCCCUAUCAGCAGGGAAGAUAGUGACGGUACCUGACUAAGAAGCUCCGGCUAAAUACGUGCCAGCAGCCGC
rnacentral:rRNA from 1 species